CUAUACAUGACUCUGCGCAUAUCAAUAAGCGGAGGAAAAGAAACUAACAAGGAUUCCCUUAGUAACGGCGAGUGAAGCGGGAAGAGCUCAAAUUUGAAAUCUUAAAGGUUUUCCCUUGACGAAUUGUAGUUUAAAGAAGUGUUUUCUGUUGAAGGUUUUGGUAAAAGUUCUUUGGAAUAGGACAUCAUAGAGGGUGAGAAUCCCGUAUUUGACCAUUAUUUUCAGCUUUGUGAUACACUUUCAAAGAGUCGGAUUGUUUGGGAAUGCAGUCCAAAAUGGGUGGUAAAUUUCAUCUAAAGCUAAAUAUUGGCGAGAGACCGAUAGCGAACAAGUACCGUGAGGGAAAGAUGAAAAGAACUUUGAAAAGAGAGUUAAACAGUACGUGAAAUUGUCAAAAGGGAAGCGUUUGACACCAGUGUUGUUUUUCUGAAAAUCAAUUAAAGAACUGUUUAUGCUAAGUUGUUUAGACUUUAUCAGCUAACUGUUUAGUUUUGAGCUUUUCUUUAAUGCACUUUUCAGUUAACAAGUCAACAUCAAUUUCUUUUGCUGUAAAAAAGCUUGAGGAAGGUGGCUUGAGAUUCGUCUUAAGUGUUUAUAGCCUCUUGCCUAUGCAGUCGGAGAGAUUGAGGUCUGCAGCGUAGAUCCUUCGGGGCUAAAUGCAUUUGUGCUAAGUUAUAGCAUUUUAUAGACAACUUGUUGACUAUGAUUUGUCUUGUAGCUUACUCGCUUAUGUUAUUUUACCUACGCUUAGGAUGUUGACAGCAGUAUAGACUGU
rnacentral:rRNA from 1 species